ensembl:snoRNA SNORA70 Small nucleolar RNA SNORA70
UUGCAGUCAAUAAGCCAACUGGGUGCCCUCGCGGGUGGGCAUGCAGGAUGCAGUGGCUAGGCACAGCAACCCCUCGGUGGGGUGCACAGCCUGUUGUGUGUACCAGCUGCUGUAGGGACCUUGAAGAUACCA